GUCGUGCAAGGCUCAUGCCCAUUUUCUGCAGCAGGUUUGCUUCAAUUAAUUUCUGACAUAUUCUUUCCUUUGUGAAGGUACAAAGAAAACACACAGAGAGACCCAGGACUUUUUCAAAGGUACGAAGAUUUGGGCAAUUUGAGGGAAAAUACAAGGAAGAGAGGAAAGAUUUACUCUACACCUCCACACCCCAAAAUAGAGAAAGCCAGAUGUGUAUUAUCUAUCUGUGUGUGUGUGUGUGUGUGUGUGCGUGUGUGUGUAGGUGUGCACGCGCAUGCAUGAACAUGCACACACACCGUGUGACUCAUGACUCCAAAGUAAUAUAGCAGAUUUUCAGACGUGGUUUUUGGAACCUUUCUUAUUACAUUAAUAUCUUGGCCUCCAUAUAUGUGCAUUCCGCGCCUGUAGGUGUACAUGCGCCCAAACCCAAAGCUCACAAUAUAAGACCCAGAGUGCUAACAUGACAGACUCUGCAGUUGAUGAAAAGCGAGCAUUGAGAUUUGUGUUGUAUAUGUUUACAUCAAGAUUUUGAAUUCAGGGACCUGCUGUUUUCACAGUCGCUGCCAUUCUCUGCACAGCCUGUUUGGAAAUGUUACAGUCCCUGAGAGACCGGCUCCCUCAUGAAUAGGCAAUUAGAUGUCUCCUCCCUCCAGGCUGCAAGAGAUGCUGCCUCCCUCCUGGAAUCUUCUCUACUUUUAGAAAACGUGUGCGUAACUUGUAAAUGUAGUUUUCAGUGCUGGUAAGAAUAUUUUUGUUUUGAAUAACAAUCGCGUUCUUUUCCACAGUGCAGGCACUCUGCUGAGGAGCACGGAGCCCCUCCCAGCCGGAAGGCUUUUGCCGUGCGAGCCGCGCCUGUCUCAGAGCCCCUCUUUAUCAACACCGGGCUGCACGACCAGCUUCUGAAGUACACAGUAAUCAUAGUUGUUCUCACAUUAAAAAGAAGAGGAAAACAAACAAGGCGCAGAUAUGUUCCGCAGUUUUCUCAGCACUACAUGGAGCUGUGACAUGCAGGCUGCCUGGGGACCCCUCCUCCCCCAUCUCCCUCUCACUAGCUGGGGAACCCUGGACGGAUGCGGGACUCCUCUGGGUUUCAGUUUCUCCCUCUGAGCAGUGAACCUCCUAGACUGUUGGGUGGAUUAAAUGAGAUACUCUAUAAAAAUGCUUGGAAUAACCAGCUGGUGCAGGUCAGCUCUCCAUACUGUUGCUGCUGCAGCUCUUGUAGAAGGUACAAAGAAGAUGAUAAACUAUAAUCACGAAAAGCCAGAUGAAAACACAAGCCUCCAGGAAAGCUGCAGCCAACCAAUUUCACAAGCUUGUUCCAGGAAUGCCUGACCCAGGUUUUUAAAGAGAAGGGAAAACACUUUGAAAAAAUGGAAGUUUCAUCUCUGGCCAGCAUUACAGCGUCUGGCAUAAUUUUAGAUGCCAACAAGUAAUGACAAAGAAGCAGCUGUUAAAAUGAUCCUGCUUAAUAGCCAUAAAGAAAUGAAGACUUCCACAGAGAGCUUUGUUCCCAUCUCAAUGGAGCAUGGACAGUUGUAGGAAGUAGAAGCCAAUUUGAUUCCAACACAGCACUUUAUUACAGCUAAGAAGGACAUAUUAUCCAAAGCCGUCUUCCGAUGUGCCAGAAGCAACAAUCAGGAAGAUUUCUACGGGGCAAAUAAACAAUGUGAAACUAAAUCAAGAAAGUUUUGGAAACACAUCUUGAAUUAGCCCAAGUCAGACGUUCAGAUAACUGAUUCUCUGUUAUGGAAGCCUACAGGGAGUGGAAAGGUAGGUAGAGAUUUCUCUUCAGUGACAAUUUCCAUUAAUUUUGUUAUUUCUCAUCAACAAUUGAUGUACCCAGAGGCGAUCAAAGUAUAUGUAAAUGACCGGCAAUUGGUUUCACUUCAAAUCUAAUACUUUGCAAAAAGCACUUUGUGGCCAGUAUCUAAGAGAAGUUUAAUAGAAGUCAAAGGCUGGAAGAAAAUGUGGGGGCUAUGUCAUUUCCUCCCAAGCUCCUCUCCUCAUCUAGCAUUAGACAGGCACUACCACUUCUCUUCUCAAGGUGCCCAGACAGGACGAUUCUGCAAUAGCCUUUAGGAAAUUCAUUUCAACGUUAAUAUCCCUCAUGGCCAAGAGAGAAGUAAUUUGGCUCAUAUAUAAUCUGGUUCCUCCUCGUCUGCAUUGAAAGCCCUUAAUGACCUCAUGUCUUCCCUCAGCAGGACUGAGGGUAUUCUGUCAAAACGUCAUGAUGGAUUAUGUGCUUGGUGACCUGUGACUUUUUGCAAGGCAAGUAGAGUAGAAUGAAAAGAUGGCGAAGAGGGAGGGGAAUACCCAUAUUUGCCAGCCUGCCAUCCGGCAGCAGAAGGAAGGUUUCCAGAGGAAAAGCUGAAUGAGAUCCUUCUGCUGCUUCCCCUCCUCUCCUGCCAUUACCUUCUCUACUCUGAAAGCCUAACAGGGAAACAAUUUAGGAAAAGAAAAGAAAACUCUCUCCUCUGUGCUCAGCAGUUGCCAUUUACAGGACUCUUGCAAGUUUAAUGAAAGGGAAAACCGGCCCUCUUGCGCAUCUCCUGUAAUACUUCCUUUGGCAUGUAAUACAAACGAGAAGACAUUCAAUGUUAAAUAUUUGUGCGUAUUUUGUUUCUUAUUUGGUUUGAGAGUUCCCCUACAAAACGGCUUUUUUAAAAAAGGAGAUCAUUAUAUUUAGAGGGGCUUAGUAAGAGACUUUGACAAUUGAGUCAAAGGUUUGCUAUUGGAAAUAGAUACUUGGUGUCGCAAAGAAAAGUUAGCACUGAGACAAGGAUCUUUCAGCAAUGCAAUUUUUACUUCCUGGACUCCAUGAAGGGUACCCUCGAUAGCCAUUGUGCCGUGAGAGUACAGUGAAAAAAGGAAAACACACAAAUUUAUCCCUUACGCAUUUGGGGUCAUCCUUACUGCUGUGUCUGAUCUCUGUUGGCUGGAGCCAGACCUCACAAUCUAGACUAAAACCGGAUUAGCUAAUAACUCAGAACUUUUCUAAACAGGUGAAAGCAAUGGAGGGCUGGGCCAUGCCUGUGAACGUGUCCAGCGCAGAUAUCUUUGUUAAAGUUCAAGGACAUAGACUGUACUACGUGCCUGUAAGCAUGGCAUGUCUAACAGCUACAUGGGAUAAGGCUUAACAAAGUUAUUAGCACACUUAUUCUUUAAUAAGAAAGGAAACUUUAAAAAGGAACUUUUCUACUUCCCACAUUUGCUCACCUCGAAACUGCUCAGGUAAAGAGAACAUCUUUUUACUGUAAAGGAGCAUUCCUUAGAUCCCUUUAAGCCACCCUAGACAAUAAAGACUAAUUUCAAUUUGUUCAGAAGUAACCUCAGAAUUAUAGACAGGGGGGAGGGUUGCAGCACUAGCCAGAGCCCAUGUGUUGCAUUUGUAACCCGCUUGUUUGCAAGAAACACACCAACAAAUCAUGCAACAGCAUAUUCCAGAUAAUAAAGUUUAAAACUUCUAUGUCUGUGCUAUCCUACAUUGGUGUUCCUAUCUGUGAGGUACCCUAACUACGGUGUAUUGUGUGUCCUGACUCCUCAUCUAGGUUGAAAGUCAGAUCACAUCAUUCCUCUAAAUCCCCAGCACCUGGCACAGGGGCUGGAAAUGAGUAGGUACUGCUAAAACAAUUGUGGAAUGAAUAAAUGAACAUAGAAACUGCCUUUUUCUAAUAUAUUUAUCUGAAAAGACCGGUUGAUUCUUUAUAUAAGUUUUGCUCUAGUGGCUUCUUGGAGAAAAAAAAAAAAACGAAAGUGUAGGUUUUACUCAAGACUGUUCUUGAUGAGGCUAUAACAAUGUAUGGACUGAGAAAGGCGAGAAGGAAUGUGGGAUAAAAAAAUGGGGAAAAUCUUGCUCUGGGGAGUUUUGGGCUUUUAUACAGGUUGGUUUCUGCUGGGCACUGCCUGAGAUAGAUUUUGUGUGGAUUGCUGAGUGAGGGUCUAGAAAUAAGUUCAUUUCAUUGUUUAAUGUGUAGAAGGCUGGAAGUGUGAAGUACCAAGUCAAAUCAAGGGAAAAAUGCAAAUGAAAGUCACGUUUCCUUGAACGUAUUCUGUAGCUCUUAAUUUCUCUGGCUACCUUAGACUUGGGGCAGUUUUCUCUCUGGACCGUAUGUCAUUUAUUUUGGUUCUACGAAGUCACACACCACUGGAAUGCCAUUGGUAUUCUUACCAACCCAGCACCAUCUGCUCUUUUUUAGACAACAGCUAUUCUGUUCCGGCUUUCUCCAGCUCCUGCUUCUUUCAGUUUUCUCAUAUAUUUUCAAUCGUAUGCAUUAUUUUCUUGGUGAAUAAGAAACAGUAAGUGCCUGAGGAAUUAGUCUUUGGCUACAUUUCUCCCCCGACAGGCACUGGAUUUUGAAAUGCUUGUUUGUUCCCUUUCUGAGUUUUGAUCUUCUAUAUGCGAAAUGAAAUGUUUAUCUGUAACAUUGGCAAAGGGAAAUGUAGUCUUCCGGAAAAGCCCUAUAAUCCUUACAUAAAUCAUGAGUCACUGUUUAACUGAUGACCAAUUAAUGUCAUAAUGUUUCCUCUACUCAAAAAUCAGGUAGCAAAGAUGAAUCGUUUCCAGAGGAAGUGAGAGGUAACUGAUGAAGAAAACAAAUCAAUUUUGGUGUAAACUUAGUCUUGCUCCGCUCCCAGUAUGGCUGAUGACAGGAUGCUCAGAAAUGUUAAAGGCAUGUUCAGUUAGAACUUGAGAGCAGCAAACUCAUCCCCUGGCUGGUGUUGUUUACCUAGAAUGUGUGGCUUUCGUGCCAUGAUCAAAUUUCAUUUCUCAUCUAUCUAUCUAUGUGGUUUAAAGGAAACUUUGUCAGACUUAAAGUAAGGGGAUGUGGUUUCAAAUCCAAUUCCAUGCAGGUUGUAAACCUCUGAAUCUGAGCUUCCUCAUCUGUAAGAUGGAAUUAAUGACACCUACACUACAAAGGUGCUAGGAAGAUUAACCAGGACAGCAUAUGGAAAACCUUGGAAUCAGCUGCUGUUCAAUAAAUGUUGGCUGCAUUUUAAUCUGCAAUUACUAAAACGAAGUCCAGAAAUGAGAUAAUGAAUCUAGAUAAUUAAUCCUUGCAUCAAUUAUUUAGACUCUGCAUAAAGAGAAAGGCUUGGGGAGUCAAUUAUCUGUAUACUUACUCAAUUCUGUGCUGCAUCUUUCAAAUAAGCUUGGAAUUUAACACAUAAUCAUAUUCUUUCUUUAGGUAAUUAGUUCCAGGGAUGAAAGGGUUAAGGAAUUGCCCAUCCCAUUUUGUUCAAAGAUUUUUUUUUUAAGGCACUGUUAGAAGAGAUGAAAUCUAAUGUAAAUGUCAGCCCCAUAUCAAAAUAAACUUACCAUUAGAAUCCAAAAUUCUCUGGAUUUAUUAAGAUGUUAUGAAUUUAGUAGGAUUUCCAUCACUCCUCCCUCUAUUUGUAGUGACCAAAGCAUGAAACCAUUGUUAAAAUCACCUAUUCAUCAAUUUGCUCUUCUGCUUUUCAGUAAUGGAGUUUCCCAGAUGAAACAGUAUAUUAAAUUUAGCCCUUUUCUAGUAAAUUAAAGCUUUUCUUUUACCAGCCAGGACCAUUAAUGCCAUUUUGUUAUCAAGAAAUGUUCAUGCUUAUGCUGUUAAUCAUUAAAAUAAUUGCAAUUAUUUUACCUAGGCAUCCUUUAGUUUUCAGACUCUUUUAAAGCCCUAAUAAUACCUGGAGUCACCUAAGGCUUUAGGUAGUCUUUUAACUGAGCAUUUUCAUUUUGAUACAUAGAUUUGUGAUUAACUUACUAAUGACAAAAAGGUGAAUUAUAAAAAUAUCCCCACCUUCUAGCAUUCAUUAUCCACAGUACACUAUCAGCCUUCCCAGGCUUCAAACUAGUUCCCCUUUAGCUUAAUUUUAUUACUUUAUCAAUUUUAGGUAUCAUGAUCCAUUGAAAUUUAAAUUCAUUUGGUUGAAACCAAUAAAAUACCAUAUA